UGUUUGGUCUUGUUUCCAUGGCAACUUGCUAGACCCCUCCUCCACUCUGUCCAAGGGGCAAUGCUGGUCCAGGACAUGAAGGUGACCCUGAGCCCACAGCUCCACCUCACACUUGGCCUCUGGGCCUGGCCCAAUGCAGAAUCCCAGGCUGUCAUGAAGCAGCCAUGACCAUCCGCCUCACCAGCCUCACCUCCAAGGCGCUUGCCCACCUCGUGGAAGGGUGCCAGCUGCCGCCAGCACGUCCGCACAGUACAGGAGCCUGACACGCCGUGGCACUUGCAUGUGGUCUCCACCCCGGCCUUGAUUACCUGGUAGGGGAGGGGGCUGAGCAUGAGGGCCACACUGAGAGGCUGGGCACAGCCCCUGCAGAUGACCCCCAGAGGGGCUCGACCACACAGCUCCCCCGGAUCCAAGCCCAGCCUGAGGGACCACCACUACCCAUCACCCGGGCUUCCUGGCUCUUGCACCUGUCCCUCCACCUCCAAGCCACAGAUGUCCCCAGACAGAAGCCCUACGUCCAGUACCAUGGCCUCCAGAGUGGCCACUGCAGCACCUGUGGCCCUGUGGAGACAUUCCCUCCUUGCAUCCAGGGCUCCCCUCUGAAGGGACUGAGCAAGCCUCCCCUCUAGCCCUGCUGUCAAUGCCCCAACAGGAACCCCCAGUCUGGGCUCAGCAGCCUACUAGCCUACUUCCUGGAGAAGUGAGGAGAAACGAGUUAGCUGGCCCAGUUGGCAGAACUGGCCCCCGGAUCUUCCAGGUCAGCCCCAGAGGGGAGGGACGGUACCCCCACUUCCACACACACGCACAGAGCUGCCCUAAGGGGCCUCCUGCCUGACCACCCACACUGGGGUCCCUGGCAGCAGAGAGCGGAGGAGGCCCUCUCUAGUGGGCCCCAUCCCAGGAUAGGCCUGAACUCCCAUGCUGCCCUCAGGGAGGGCUGGCUGGCUUGAGGGGGAUUAGGAAAUGUGGCUGCCCUCUGGCCCGGCAAUAGAAGAGUCACAUUUAAUGACACUCUGCUGAGAAACCUGGACAAAUUUAAUUAAAACGCUGCUUACCCAGGCCCGGCA